AACGAACGCUGGCGGCAUGCCUAACACAUGCAAGUCGAACGAGACCUUCGGGUCUAGUGGCGCACGGGUGCGUAACGCGUGGGAACCUGCCUUUAGGUCCGGAAUAACUCAGAGAAAUUUGAGCUAAUACCGGAUGAUGUCUUCGGACCAAAGAUUUAUCGCCUUUAGAUGGGCCCGCGUUGGAUUAGCUAGUUGGUGGGGUAAAGGCCUACCAAGGCGACGAUCCAUAGCUGGUCUGAGAGGAUGAUCAGCCACACUGGGACUGAGACACGGCCCAGACUCCUACGGGAGGCAGCAGUGGGGAAUAUUGGACAAUGGGCGAAAGCCUGAUCCAGCAAUGCCGCGUGAGUGAUGAAGGCCUUAGGGUUGUAAAGCUCUUUUACCCGAGAUGAUAAUGACAGUAGCGGGAGAAUAAGCUCCGGCUAACUCCGUG
rnacentral:rRNA from 1 species